UACGUAGGGGGCAAGCGUUGUCCGGAUUUAUUGGGCGUAAAGAGCGUGUAGGCGGCCAUGUAGGUCCGUUGUGAAAACUCGAGGCUCAACCUCGAGACGCCGAUGGAAACCAUGUGGCUAGAGUCCGGAAGAGGAGAGUGGAAUUCCUGGUGUAGCGGUGAAAUGCGCAGAUAUCAGGAAGAACACCCGUAGCGAAGGCGGCUCACUGGCCCGGUACUGACGCUGAGGCGCGAAAGCGUGGGGAGCAAACAGG
rnacentral:rRNA from 1 species